ACAGAGCUUGGGCCCAGCUCUGACCCAGGUGUUGUGCUGCAGGGGUUUGCAGAUGAGACGAGCACGGGUGGAUGUGUGCAGUCUGCUGACUUUAGCACUGCACAUGUGAUCCACCGAUGCUCACAAAAACCCGAUUCCUGCAUUUUACAGGUCCUUCUGGAGGCUUGCACGCCGGUCAUUGAGGUCACUGUCGCCACUGCCACGUGAAACAGCCUUCCUGGCCGCCGCGGGACCCAGCACAAGCCACCCCGGGGGCCUGCGCACUAACCAGGCACAAAGCUUCCCCACUGCGGGCUCCUGGACUCCGCACGCUUCUCCACAUGCCGUCCGAGUGUCCCCGCCUGAAUGCCCCACGAGAAUUUCAGCACGAUCAUGUCAGAAACACGAAACAUUCCUCUCCCCGGAAAACGCACUUUUUCUCCCGAAUCACUGGUCUGCUGCUCCAAACCACCUUCUCAUAACUUCAACCUGGAGCUGCCCCUACCCUGGUCCUCACCCUGCACGAUGGAGUCGUGAACCGCACUGCGCGUCGCUGCCAGAGACCCCGUGCUCUCCCCGACCUGGCUUUCGGUGACCACCCCCAGCCCCUGGCUCAGCACGGAGGCCCCCUCCGGGGCACCCUCCUGCUGAGUCUGCCUGGCCUUCUUCCCCGCAGUGGACAGAGAAGAGGUCACAGCUCUGACCCCGCCACUUCCUGUCCAAACAUCUGAUUUAAGCGGGCAAAGGCCACAUUUCACAAGACACCUUUCACCCACUGCCACGCCCAGGAGGCGGGGGCAUCUCUGAGCAAAACACAGUGUUGCCUUCUCUUCUCAGCUCGACAGCAAUGUCUACACCAGCCGCGGGGGCCCCGUCCCGUGUCCAUCUGGCCGGGCUACUGGCACGCAGAGCUUGGGCCCAGCUCUGACCCAGGUGUUGUGCUGCAGGUGUUUGCAGAUGAGACGAGCACGGGUGGAUGUGUGCAGUCUGCUGACUUUAGGUAACCAUGGCCUCCACAGUGUGGGUGGGCCUCACCCAAUCAGUUUACGGGCUUAAGCAUAAAAAUUGGGGUUUCCUAGAGAAUAACUUCUGCCUCAAAACCACAGCAUCAACCCCCGCCUGAGUUUCCAGUCUGUCGGGCUGCCCCGCACACAAAGGGAUUGCUGGUCCCCAGUCACAUGAGCCAGUUCCUUAAAACCCAUCUAUCCAUCCUUCCAUCCUUCCUCCCUCCUCCCUUCCUUCAUUCCUUCCAUCAUCCUCUUGUGCUGCUUCUCUGGAGACCCCUGACACACGGCCAUUUGCAGGAUGCUGAACGAGGAGGUGUAGGGGGGAAGCCGGUGCGAUCGUUUGUCCAUGAAGAACUCACAUUUUUGCGAUGAAGCUCCUUCUAUCGAGCUCAAUUCACCUCACUUGUCUGUGGUUCAUGCUUCCCUGCUCCUGCCCUCUAGAGGCCCAGGGAAGCCUCACACCUCCAGGUUCCUGGCCUUCCCCCGGAGGGCUGCAAAGCCGCUGAAGGUCUCUGUUGCUAAGGACCCAGAUGAAAUACUCCCAUUUCCCUUCGAAGACCACUUUGCAGAUCUUAUCAUCUGCCCCGAAUCCUGUCAUCUCUCUGCUAAUUGACAAUCUUUAGUUGCUUUGAUAGCCACACAAAGAAGCAAAAAUUAAGGAGUGAAGAAAUUCUGUCUUAACCUCAACCCUGUUUUCUGCCGACUAAGUCUUUUUCCGGAGCCUCAGGGUGGCCCCAGGGGGCACAGGAUACAAGCCCCACCCACCCCCACCCCCACCCCGCUCCCUGUGGCAGGCCUUGUCAAGCCCCGUAGCCAGUGCCUGGAGAAUUUAGGUUACCGGUCGAGGACCGCUGCUCAACGGAAAGAUGGAGAAAGGAGCACGGUGCUGGUCCAGGUCCACGUUGUGCCAGGCACCGACGCGAGCUGCCUGUCUUGCGACGGACACUGCUGGGGACCCGCUGAGACCUUCGCUGGGCGGCGGUGCC